UGGGAGGCUUGGCCAGUCUCUUUUCACAUUUUUUCUACGUGCUUAUAUUCUAGCCCCACUGGCAGCUGAUUAGGUUGUACCUCUCUAGAUUAAGAGUGGGUCUGUCUUUCCAAGCCCACGGACUUAAAUGUUAAUCUCCUUUGGCAACAUCCUCACAGACACACUGAGGAUCAAUACUUUGCAUGGUUCAGUACAAUCAAGUUGAUACUUAGUAUUAACCACCUCUGCAAGUUAUUAAAGGAAAUGAUCUGAUUUGAUGAGCGGAAGACCAUGUUACUUGAUCUGGUUCAGCUUAGAUACUUCAUGUUAAAAUCUGAGAACUCUCCUUGAGAUCAGAGAUCUGUCUUCUGUGCCAGAAGCCACUGCUAAAGUUCUGACCUAAGUGAGUUUUCAAGAUAUUUUCUGAUUGCUUUCACUUUUCUCUUUCUUGAAUAGCUGUUGCAAAGAAGUGCAAACAGGUCCUCUUAUUGGACAGGGAGGAAGUAUUUGGAGGUGGGUUUUGAUGGAGGCUUUGAAGGGUGGGAGAUAAGAUGGCUGGGGCUAUGUUUUAAAAAAUUCUUCAAAGUUGAGGUAAUUGAGGAUGAUAGGAAGUCAAGGGAAGAGAAGUGAGGUAUGGGAAAAGUCAAGAGGGAAAAGGAGGGUGGAGUUAGUGGAGGGAUGUAGAUGUAUUUUAGCCUAUAAACAGCACAUGCUGCAAGGGAUUGAAGGACAAGGUUGAAUCAUCCUAAGGAAAAUUUCUCUAGCAGGACUCAGAAGGAGAACAGGGAAUUAUUGAGAGUUUUAUUUAAGGCAUACAUUGGUUUAGUAAUCCAUACUUGCCCAGAUUUUCUUUCCAUGUAUUUAUAGAAAGACAGUUAUUUUGAGGGAGGAAUUUCAAAUGCCUAAGUGGUGUGAAUAGCAAAGACUUCCAAAGAUCCUAGUUUUCAAUUUGAACAGCAUCUGUGUUCAUGUUUAAUGGCAUUUCUUUAUCACACAUGUCAUGAGCGCCUACUUGAUGUGUACCAAGCCAGGCACCAUUGGUGAGACACAAAAGCAUAACCUUGCAUUUUCAAGGAGGUUUUCUCCUUGGAGGGCAACCGAGAAGGCACAUAUGAACAGCGAAGUGUUAGUAAAGCCUCUGCGACUGUUAGAUGUCUCAUUCUUUUCAUGAGCAACUCAAAGGAGAUGGCUUCUGAAGUGAGAUGUCUUGGGAUAGGCCUCAAUGGUUAAGACAAAGUAAGGGAAAAGGAACUGAGCAUUUUAUAUGUGCAUAUUGUCUACCAGUGACAAGGGGGUGAAAAUAUGCAUGGUUGGUGUGAGGAAGGGCAAGUUGCUCCAUCUGUUGGCACUGUGGGUUAUUUCUGGGGUGCAGUGGGAGAUGACAUGAAACAUCAGCUUGGGGUAGAUUAUAAAAAGGGCCUCAAGAGUC